rnacentral:lncRNA from 10 species
CUUUGGUGCAAGACUUUCUGGUGGGGGUGACUCUUGAGCUGAGAAGGGAUCCACCAGGCUGGUAUGUUACAUAACCAUUACACUCACUUCUACAGUGCCUUCUGGUAGAAGAUGUCUUCUCCCUAUGCAUUUGGUCCUGACAAAAACUAUGUGAGGAAUCUCCAGGAUAGCCAAAGAGUCCAGCUUAAAGGUAGCCAGCCAGAAAAAGUGCCCAAACCACGCAGUGAGAUCACACCUUUGAAGACCCCACCUUGGCAUAGACUCUACGGCUUUCACGAAUGAUGCUGAGCUCUCAGCAGCACCAGAACCUCAGGCUCUGACACCCACAAAGCUGCAGGUCUCCAGGGCUGCUUGGGCCAAAAGGCUCCAAAUCACCAAACUUCUUUGCCUCUCUGGGAAAACUAAAUGACCCACCACUUCAGAAGAAGGUCAUGGGGUCUGUGCACAGCUUUUCACAUCCUCCCUGAAACACCAACACGCCCGGUCCAGGUUAAAGGAUAUCAGCACUGCCACACACUCUUCUUUUUCCCAAAUUAAUCAAGAAGUAGGAAUUUCUGACAAAUGCCAUCUGCUGAUUUUUCAGAGAGACAAGUUUUGGUGGUGUGACCAGCAGGUGCCUCGGCUUUUUCUAGCAUGCAGUACCAAAAUAGUCACCAUGGCAACCCUGGGAGGGCAGACUUCCAAAGAGAUGCAUUGUGAGCUCAGAAACUCUAGAGCACUUUCAAGCUAAAAGGAAGGAGGCUCAGCAGUGGGUUUCCAACUGUGGCAAGUAGCGGCUUCUCCCCACAUCCCUGGGCUGGACCCCAGGCCCCUGCAUACUGGGCACAGCCAGGACCCCCCGACCCCAGGGCCUGUGCUUCUAGGAAGAGGGGGAAAAUUGAAUUUGUGGGGAGUGGCAGGCAGGUGGAGCAGGCAACUCCCAGAUUUCUUGCAGGAGCUAAAGUAGCAUGGAGGGUGAUAAAUGGUGCCCACCUGGGUUGGGAGGCAGGAGAAUUGGGUUGAAAUACCUGCCCUGUCACUUGCUAACCAAUGACCUUGGGCAAUUGACUUGGCCUUUCUGACUCUCAGCUUCUCAUUUUCAAAAUGGGAGUGGUGAGCUUGCACUGCCUCUUCACAGGGAAAAUUGUGGAUAUGAUAGGAAGCUUGUGAAGACUGUUGGGAAAGUGCUCAGUGGACAGUGCAAAGCAGAAGAGAACAGGGAUUUGGGGAUCAGAAAGCUUGGGUUCCAGACCAGGCUCUGCUGCUUUCUAAUCUUAUGAGCUUGGGAAAGUCAUAGAGCUUGUCAAACCUACUCGCUCACCUUGGAAGAAGGCUCAGAAGCCCUGCCUCACAGAGUGGAUGUGCAGGUUAUCUGGGCUCUUUCUGUGACCUGGGAUUUUACACUCCCCUUCAGUGCAGACACCAAGACAGGAUGGACAAUACAGAGGAUUUUACUAGGGGAAACAUCUGUGAGAUAAAAAUGGGGAGGGAGCUGGUAGAGGCUAGAAGAGAGGAAAGGCUGGGAGAGCCAUCACACCUUGAUGCAAGUCUGACCUAAGUGCAGGAGGGAGGGAAGCAAGUUUGGGUGGAAGCUCCUAGACUGCCUAUAGCAAGGCCAUCAGAGAGUCCUCAAGCCAAAGUCACCUAUCAGAGAAGUUCCCUGUUUCUUGGAGACAGGUCUGCCUUAGUAUCCCUGCCACACUCAGUUGCUGAUUGUCUAGAAGCAGCCAACAGGAAGAGUGGCCUCUACAUAAAUAUGGGUGCAAGCAGCUGGAGGCCAUGAUCAACUGAACUCUCUCUUCAGGAGACAUAUUCUUAUGGCCACCACACCUACCCAAUCCUGAUGUCUUUUGCUUGAACAUCCACAUCAGGUACUUGGCCUCAGACCCACACCUCUACUUCAGAAGCCUUGUACCCCACAUCCAUGGUCCUCUUACCCAGAACAUUAUAGGAACUCAGGUUCAAUGAUGUCUUAGAAUACCACCCCUAGGAAAAAAAUAUAUUUUCUACAUCUCAAUUAGAUUAUGUAGCAAAGGUGCACAGGCAUUGUUCCAUUCUGCAUUUGAAUGUGCGUGUAUGUAGGAAUGCAUGCUUCUUUGUCAGUGUGCACGCAUAUGAACAGUAUAUUUGUAUAUAUAGAUGAGCAUUUAUAUCUACGUGUAUGCAUGUUGUGAAUUUAUGCAACAAUACCAUUAGCCCAUUAGCACUACAUAAGCAUUUUGCACACAGUAUCUUUGAUCUUUACAACCAUCUUUGAGGUAGAUAAGCAGGUAGUUUUGUAGGCACAAUCCUUGUUUCAGCUUAAAUGUUUUCCCCAACAUGCCACUCAGAUAACACAAGGUAGAGCCAUGGUUUGAACAGAAAUGUCUUCCUUCAAAGUUUCAGCUCUUGUCCUUUCUUCCACCCACCCCCAUCCCACCUACUCAUAUGACUAUGUGUUGCAUGAAAGCACAUACGUGUGCAUAUAGAAAAAAGAUUCAGAUGGGGAGGGGAAUAUAGCUGGAGAAGUAUAGAUUGAUUAUGGAUUGGUGACUGGUGAAAAGUAUUUCUGCCAGAAGCCCCCACACUACAAAAUGUAAUCCUAUUAAUGUGUGUCAUCUAAAAACAUAUAUUGUAUCCUAGCUGUAAGAAUUUCUAUUUAAUGGGCUACAAAGACAAAUUUUGGAGAUCCUAAGCAAUUUGAGUCUCUUAUUCUUCUAGUAUAAUCAAACAGUGAUCCACUUUCUUGGCCUUCCCCCAGAAUCCUUGCUCCCAUGGCAAGUUUUUCAGCCCAACUGGUGGAAAUUGUUUUGUCCUGAUUGAGAGGUAUUAAAGAAAAAAUAUCUACCCCAGCACCUUAGUUUUCUAAAUCACUUGUCUUUGCUUGUUUCCUAGCAGCAUGAAAUACUAGUCUGGAG